GACAACAGAUUGUACCACUUAACAAUAACGUAAUGAAAUAAUCACAAACUGCAACAGGUUCCUGUCUGCUCCACUGCUGUUGGGGUGCUGGUGGUGGCCCUUUGUGACACGGCACAUGGUGUCAUGGCCCUUUGUGAUGUGGGACGUGGUGGUGGCCAGAGACUCUUGUGACAUCAGGGAGCUCUGCCAGGGCUGAGGGUCUCCAAGGGGUGUGGAGCCCUGGGGUGCUCAUUCCCAGGAUAGCCGCUCUCUGAGGAGGAAGCAGCUCCCUGGCUCUGUCUACGCCAGACACUAACAGUGAUAUCCAUUGGAAGUACCGACAGUGACAGACAACGACAGCAAGGAGGACAAAACACACUCCACCUCCCGGUCCCACAGCUCCUUGCCCAGCUGGCUGGAAGCCACCAGCGAGCCGUGGUCAGGGGCAGUGGGCAGCUCAGUCCUGCCGCUGUCACAGACUGAGAAGGUAGAGAGGAUCUUGGCCAAAAUGGGCCAAAAGCUUUCCCGGAGGGAAGGUGUGAAAGACUCCCAAAAGAGGGAUGUUCCAGGAGCCGAAGAAAUGUCCCAGCGGGGAGACAGGAGCAGCCAAGAGCUGUACCAAGGCCAGAGUCCCACGGAGGCCGAGCCGGCAGCUGCUGCCCCAGCUGGAGAUGCUGAGGAGGAGGAGGAGCCAGGGUCGGCAGUGGCAGAGCUGGCACAGGAAGGUCGCCUGGAGGACUGGAUUUGGGACAGUUUCUCAGAAUCCAGCAGUGAGGAAGAGAGCCCGGUGCCUUCCCCGCACAGCCCCCCCGGCCCCUUGUCUGCCCUGCCGGGAGCCCCAGCCCCCAGGGAAGAGCCGGGCUGGGCAGUGGCAGAGCUGGCACAGGAUGACAGCCUGGAGGCCUGGGUUUGGGGAAGUCUCUGGGAAUCCGACAGUGAGGAAGAG
rnacentral:lncRNA from 1 species